rnacentral:rRNA from 1 species
GAGACAGCAGUCGCCGCGGGAAUACGUAGGUGGCAAGCGUUGUCCGGAAUUAUUGGGCGUAAAGGGCUCGCAGGCGGUUUCUUAAGUCUGAUGUGAAAGCCCCCGGCUCAACCGGGGAGGGUCAUUGGAAACUGGGAAACUUGAGUGCAGAAGAGGAGAGUGGAAUUCCACGUGUGGCGGUGAAAUGCGUAGAGAUGUGGAGGAACACCAGUGGCGAAGGCGACUCUCUGGUCUGUAACUGACGCUGAGGAGCGAAAGCGUGGGGAGCGAACAGGAUUAGAUACCCCAGUAGUCCCUGUCUCUUAUAC